CUCUCCUUUUCACCCACCAAAUCCAGACCUGUUCGCCUCCUCAUCCCUUAACUCUUUGUGCACUCAACCUACCCAUAGAUGUUGCUAUAAGAGAAGACCCAGCCACAGUUGACAGAAGCAGUUUCUGCUGCUGCAGUUGUUGUAUCCGCUAGCUACAGCGGCCACCAGAGUCGUCAAGAGGAGAAAAAGAGAGAAUGGGGGAGACGGUGGGGUGGUCAUGGAAGUGGUGCUUGUCCCUGAGUGCCAUUGGGGCUUGCAUGUUCAUGGCACUCAAGGUGUUGGACUUCUUGUGGUGGAGGCCGAAGAGGGUGGAGGAGCACUUUGCGAAGCAGGGGAUCAGGGGACCCCCCUACCGCUUCUUCGUUGGCUGUGUCAAAGAGAUGGUUGGCCUGAUGCUGGAGGCCUCCUCCAAGCCAAUGAUGCCUCAGACCUCCCACAACAUCCUCCCAAGAGUCCUCUCCUUCUAUCACCACUGGAAGAAGAUCUAUGGCUCCACGUUCCUGCUGUGGUUCGGGCCUACCGCGCGCCUGGCCGUCGCCGACCCCAACCUCAUCCGCGAGAUCCUCCUGUCGCGGUCCGAUGUCUUCGAGCGGUACGAAUCCCACCCGCUGGUCCGGCAACUCGAGGGCGAGGGGCUAGUGAGCCUCAGAGGCGAGAAGUGGGCUCACCACAGGAAGGUCCUCACGCCCACCUUCCACAUGGAGAAUCUCAAAUUGUUGAUACCUUUCAUCGGGAACACGGUGCUGGACAUGGUGGGGAGGUUGCCCACCUCCGGCGAGGAGGUGGAGAUCGAUGUGUCCGAGUGGUUUCAGGCCGUGACGGAGGAGGCCAUCACCCAGACCGCCUUCGGAAGAAGCUACGAGGACGGCAAGGCCGUCUUCCAGUUGCAGACCCAGCAGAUGGUCUUCGCGGCCGAGGCCUUCCGCAAGGUCUUCAUCCCUGGCUACAGGUUUCUGCCGACGAAGAAGAAUGCGAACUCAUGGAAAUUGGAGAAGGAAAUUAAGAGGAGCCUGGUCAGGCUGAUCGGACGGCGAAAGGAGCGGCUGGGUGAGGAGGAGAAGCCCGGCGGGGACAUCAAGGACUUGCUGGGCCUGAUGAUCGACGCGAGCGCGUCGAAACAGGGGAUAGGGUCUGCGGCGGCUGGUCGCCAGGGGGUGCUGCGGAAGCCUCCUCCUCCGCCGUCGUCGUCCACGACGACGAGGAUCACCGUGAGGGACAUCGUGGAGGAGUGCAAGACGUUCUUCUUCGCGGGGAAGCAGACCACCUCCAACCUGCUGACAUGGACCACAGUACUCCUGGCCAUGCACCCGGAGUGGCAGGAGCGCGCGCGGGCGGAGGUCCUCCGCGUGUGCGGCCCCCACGACGUUCCCUCCCGCGACCACCUUGCCAAGCUCAAGACGCUCGGGAUGAUCCUGAACGAGACGCUGCGGCUGUACCCGCCGGCGGUGGCGACGAUACGGCGGGCGAAGGCGGACGUGGCGCUGGGCGGGCUGCACAUCCCCUGCGGCACCGAGCUGCUAAUCCCGAUCAUGGCCGUCCACCACGACGCCGGGCUGUGGGGCCCGGACGUCGCACGGUUCAAUCCGGCCCGGUUCGCCGACGGGGCGGGACGAGCCGCCCGCCACUCCACCGCCUUCAUCCCCUUCGGCCUCGGCGCCCGGAUGUGCAUCGGCCAGAACCUGGCCCUCCUCGAGGGCAAGCUCACUGUCGCCAUCCUCCUCCAGCGCUUCGCCUUCCGCCUCUCCCCUUCCUACGUCCAUGCCCCUACCGUCCUGAUGCUCCUCUACCCCCAGUACGGCGCGCCCAUCCUCUUCCGACCGCUGCCGCAGCCGUCCGCCGCCAUCCACACCGACCCCGCCUCCUGUUAGAAGCAUUAUUUUCACACACCCUCGGCAUCAUACAGGUUAACCACACAGCCCUUGCGAGCUUGGGCCUAACAUGUCACCGCCAGCGCCAUCACCGCUAACUUUGCCUGGAAAUAACCUUCAUACGUCACCUUCUCAGGCCUUCUUCUUCUUCGUUUCAUUUACAUCUCCAAAUGGCUUUGGUCUGAAGAAGCAGCACCACCAAAUCAUCCACCAAAAUAUGCAGGACAUGACGAGAUGACGAGGUCAAAACAGAGCGUUGAGCGUCGGCGUAGAACAGGGUGUCGUGUCGGCUAGCUGUCACUCCUCGGUACAUGCAAACGCAGACAGAGUGACGGCCGGCACUGUUUGCAGAGCACAUAAUCUCUGGCGACAUGGCGCGACCUGCUCGCUUUGGCGCUUUCCUCCUUUCCAACAGUCCUCGCCUCGUUGUUGCAUUGCAUCUCCGAUCCCUCUGUGACCUAACUAAUUACCCAUCAACUGUCCACAUCUCCAUCACGGAGGACAAACGCCCCCCCGCCCCCUGCUCCGUACUCGCAUUUAGAUCCCCAAUGACAGUGAAAUAUCACCAGCAGAGUAAGCUCUCUCCAAAUCCUGCACUCAUGAGCGGGAUGGGCGGCAUGUGGAAGAAGGGUUCCCCUGUCUCGAUCUUUCUCAUUUUUCCCUCCCCUGUAUAUGUAACAAUUGUCGUUGUUAAAUUAAUUUUUGAUUG